UAAAUUAAUAUACAGGUUAAUGCAAUUUCUAUUAAAAUCCCAGCAAGAUGUUUUGUAAGUAUAAACAAAAUUAUUCUAAAAUGUAUACGAUAAGGCAAAGGAAACAGAAGAACUAAAACAAUUUUGAAGAAGAAUAUGAGAGGACUCAGUCCAACCUCUUUCAAGACAUUGUAUAGCUACGAUAAGUGGAACUGGUGUAGAGAUAAUCACAUAGAUAAAUAUAACAGAACAGAAAAUCCAGAGAUAGUGCAUAUCAAAUUGAUUUUUGACAAAGGUGCAAAAGCAAUUCAAUGGAGGAACGGUAAUCUUUUCAACAAAUGAAGCUGGGGCAAUUGGACAUUCAUAGGCAAAGAAUAAAAAAGCCUCAGCCUGUCUCACACCUUAGACAAAAAUUAAUAACUCAAAUGGAUCACAAUAGGAGAAAAUCUUUAGGAUCUAGCUUCAGGCAGAGUUCUUAAACUUGACACUGAAAGCAUGACACAGAAAAUGAAAAAUUGAUAAAUUGGACUUCAUUAAAAUUCAAAACUUUGUGCAGCCAUAAAAAAUAAUGAGAUCAUGUCCUUUGCAGGGACAUAGAAGAAGCUGGAAGCCAUCAUCCUCAGCAAACUAACACGGGAACAAAAAGCCAGACACUGCAUGUUCUCACUCAUAAGUGGGAGUUGAACAAUGAGAACACAUGGACACAGGGAGGGGGAUAUCACACACCAGGGCCUGCGGGGGGGUAGGGGGGUAAGGGGAGGGAGAGCAUUAGGACAAAUACCCAAUGCAUGCGGGGCUUAAAACCUAGAUGACGAGUUGAUAGGUGCAGCAAACCACCACGGCACAUGUGUACUUAUGUAACAAAACUGCACUUUCUGUACAUGUAUCCCGGAACUUAAAGUUAAAAAAAAAAAAUUCAAAAUUUUGCUCUGCAAAAAAAUUCUGUUAAGAGAGUGAAAAGACAAACUAGAGACUGGGAGAAAAUAUUUGCAAACUAGAAAACCAACAAAAGAUUACUAUCUAAAACAUAAAAUGAACUCUCAAAUCCAAUAAAAAAAUAGUCAAAAGGCAUGAGGAGAUAUUUCACUGAGGAGGAUAUAAAUAGAUUUUUAUGAUAAAUAAGCACAUAAAAAGAUGUUCAACAUCAUAUGCCAUUAGGAAAAUGCAAAUUAUGACCACAAUGAGAUUUCACUACAUACCUAUUAGAAUGUAGAAAAUAAAAAAUAGUGACAACACGAAAUGCCAAAGAGGAUGUGGAGUAAUUGGAUCACUCACACUGCUGGUGAGAAUGAAAAUAGUGCAGCCACUCUGAAAAAUGGUCUAGUAGUUUCCUAAAAACCUAAACAUGCAAUUACCAUAUGACCCAGCAAUUGUACUUCUGGGCAUUUAUCCCAGAGAAAUGAAAAUGUGUUCACCUAAAAACCUUUUUGAAUGUGUAUAGCAGCUUUGUUUGUAAAACCCCCAAACUGUAAGUUACUCAGAUGUCCUUCAACAGGUAAAUGGUUUAACAAAUUGUGGUACAUGCAUACCAUGGAACGCCACUUAGGAAUAAAAAGGAGCAAACUACUAACAGAUACAACCAGCUGUAAAAAUCUCCAGGGAACUAUGCUGAAUAAAAACAGCCAACGGCGGCCGGGCGCAGUGGCUGACGUCUGUAAUCCCAGCACUUUGGGAGGCCGAGGUGGGCGGAUCACGAGGUCAGGAGAUCGAGACCGUCCUGGCUAACACGGUGAAACCCCGUCUCUACUAAAAAUACAAAAAAUUAGCCGGGCGUGGUGGCGGGCGCCUGUAGUCCCAGCUACUCGGGAGGCUGAGGCAGGAGAAUGGCGUGAACCCGGGAGGCGGAGCUUGCAGUGAGCCGAGAUCCCCGCCACUGCACUCCAGCCUGGGUGACAGGAGGAGACUCCGUCUCAAAACAACAACAAUAAAAAGCAAAAACAAACAAACAAAACAAACAAACAGAACAGCCAACGCCAAAAUGUUACAUAUUGUACGGUUCUACACAGACGACAUGCUUGAAAUGAUGAAAUUAUAUAAACGGAGAACACAGUGGUUGCUAGGGGUUAAUGAGAGGGUGGUUGUGGAAGAGAAGUAGAUGUAUCUAUAAAAAGGGGCACAUGAUGGAUCCUUGUGCAUGUGAAAAUAUUCUGCCUCUUAUCUGUAUUAAUGUCAAUAUCCUGGCUAUGAUAUUAUACUGUAGUUUGGCAAUACGUUACCAUUGGGGGAAACUGGGUAAAAGGUACACAGGAUCUCUCUGUAUUAUUUUGUACAAUUGCACAUGAAUCUACAAACACCUCAAAGUUUAGUUUAAAAAAAACGUAAAUAUCAUAUAUGCAUGCAAUGUAAGCAGCAAAAAUUCUGCAGGGCCACAUAGCCAGCUUCAACACAGAUUACCUCUGCAGAGGUAGACAAGUAGCUCUGAAGAUUAGGUGGGGUUGAUGAGAGGAUUCUUUCUUUUCAUUUUAUUCCCUUACGAAUCUUGUCUAAAUAAAUUUCUUAACAUGAGUAUGUAUUACUAUUAUAAUAAAAAGGAAACAAGUUAAUAGGAUUUAAACAUAAACCAUAUUAAUUUCUCAUUAUUUAAACAGGAUCUUUUCUGCAAUUUCCCGUGUACAAAAAAGUUUCUUGGCAAAACAGCCCUAGUAUUUAGUAAAUAUAUUAAGUCUUUUACAGGAGGAAAAUCCUUAACUUAGUCUUUCUAAGGAGAAACUCACUCCAAAACCUUUAGCUCACAGGAUCUACCCAUUAUAAAAUACACUUUUAUUCUACAAAGUGCUUCUCAGAUAUUUCAACCAAUCUCUGACACAAAGUACCAAAGGUGAUUUAAUAUAUGUCAGGGUCCCUUCUCUUGUUCACUAAUGGGAGGGGAGGGUAUAAUAUACACACCAAGAUUCCCACACUCUUCAGCGGCAAAGAACAGGUGCCCAGCUGUCCCUGCAAAAACCCUGGCCAUUAAGAACACCCCAGUUAAGGAACAGCAAAGGAAGCUGGUGCUAUCAUCCUGGUCCCAGGUAACCAAGAGACUGACUGUUCUUCUCAUAAGAAACAUUGUACCUGCUCCUGCCCUAUGCGAGGCCAAGCCCUGUUGGGUAUAGGUGAUGUGGCCAAAUGCAUACAACUUCAUUUAUCAAGGGAAGCUGCAUCAUAUUCUGUCUUUACACAUUAGAUCACUAAGUACAACUUUCUGUCAUGAUUCUCCAUUCAAGUCACAGCUUUGGGACAAAAUGUGAGGGCAGAAUUUGAUUCAUUGUUCAUGUUCACAGCAAUAGGUUUGGAGUUUCCACAUCUUCUGAAUAUUUGUAGGAAAGCUCAAGUACAAAUAUUGUUGGGAUGCUCAAGAAAACAUCUUUAAGUGAACAGAAACAGACUGUCUCCUAUUGAAAUUCCUUAAAGCCACAAGUAUUUUAUUUUAAUAUGCUUCUUCCCCACAGAUUUGGAAUUUGGUAGCUGAAUACCCAAGUGUAGGCAAUGACUAAAAAGCUGACCCUGGAAAACUUGGGCAUCAUUAAAUGAUUAAAUCAAGAAUAUUCUCUGAUUGCUUUAUUCCAACUAAUCUCAAAUAGUCAAAGUUACCAGUUACUGAGUAUCAACUCUGUCCUGGCACUUUACUAGUUCCUAAUUUCCCGAACCAUGUAAGGCAAGUGUCAUGGGAGGUCUAAAGAGGAAGAAACGGUGACUCAGAAAAUUGAAAUAACUUGUCCAAGAUUAUGCAAAGGGUAAGGCAAAGUCAGGUUUGAGCUCAGGUCAGCUGAUGCCAGAGCCCACCUUCCUCAUGUUCUCUGAUGCCACCCCUCUUACCAACAUAGUAAGCUUUAAGAGAUUUGUGAUGAUGUCAAUGAUAUAAUAUGUCACCUAGAUCCUUCACUCUUUCCUCAGCUAGGAAUGUAACCAACCCAAAAAUUUCCUGAAAGUGGAAAACCCUGACUCCUACACCAGGUCCUUCCUGAUACCUCUGUGCAAUAUACCUUCUUCAAUUUGAAUACUCUGUUACUCAUGCUUUACAAUUUAGCAAACCCUCUCGUACACACAGUGGGAGCAGCAGCAUAGUACCUGGGUAAUGUCAGUGCCAAACGGCACUGAGUGUGUUAUAUAAACAAAUGAUGGCUCUAGCAGUGCUUUCUGUUUAGGGGUUCUGCCAGGUGUCAGGGAAACAACAGUGAGUGGAACUGGGCCCCCAUCCUUGGGGGUGCACAAUCCAGGGGCAGGGAACAGACAUAUAAACAAAUAAUUAGAUCAAUGUGAUAACAAUUACAAGAGAAGUAUAUUCAAAGUGGAAUGGAAGAAGAGUUGGAAGAAGCCCCAGGGUGGUGGAGGUGGUAAUUGGUAGGGCAGAGAAAGAGUGUUCCUAAUUAGCUAGGCAUGGUGGGGUGAGCCUGUGGUCCCAGCUACUCAGGAGGCUGAGGUGGGAAGAUCACUUGAGCCUGGGAAGUCAAGACUGAAGUGAGCCAUGACUGCACCACUUCACUCCAGCUUGGGUGACAGAGCAAGACCCCAUGUGAAAAAAAAAAGUGUUCCUAUCAGAGGAAACAGCCUGAGCAAAAGCAUGAUGUCCUGGAAGAGCAUAGUAGGUUCUCUUAUAAGUGGGAGUAGUCACAGUGAGGUUUGCUUUUACUCAGCAACAAAUUCAUUUCAAAAAUAUCAUGUAGAAUUCUACCAGUCUACAUGUACAGGUCAGGGCACUUUUCAGCUGCUACAGAAGGAAGUAAUCUCAUUUUGCCAGCCCAUGGCUUUUUCUCCUUUCUUCAUACCCUUCUUGCUAAAAUAUCUUCAGGACUAAAGCUCAAUUGAAUGACAGCCCCUCUGGCACUCAGCAGCCUCUCCUGGAGAGGUCUCUAAAGGCUGCAAGGGCAGGCAGUAUGAUAGGGUAGAAAUAGAGCAGAGAGUAUGGCCAAGCUAUGGGCUAACAAGAUGAAUUUGGGUAGACAGCCAGGUCCAUCACUUAUUAGCUGUGUGAUUUUGGGCAAAUUUCUUUACCUGUCUAGCCUCCUUUUGUGUGGAUAUCAUAUUUUUACCACUGACUAAGUGCUAAGCACUGUGCUAGAGUUUAUUAUGCAUUAUCUCACUUAAUCCUUAAAUAAGUCUAUACGUUACUGGCAAUGGAACAAAAUACAGACCCCAGAAAUAAGUCCACUUAUUUUCAGCCAAAUGAUGUUCUUUUUGGGGUAAGGAAUGAGGCCUAAGUCCAGGUUGGAACAGAGAAAAACUGGCAGGUUGCCUGCCUACAUCAUCACCACCGAUCAGAUCCAGGAUGAGCACAGGUGAUACAAACUUAUUGUGCCUGGUCAUCAGGCUGCAGAGCUCAGAUGUGUGUUCUGGGCUGUCUGGGCUAUUGUCCUGGAAAUACUCCACAGCCUUCUGAAUCUAGAUUGCCUGACCUAAAUUAGAGAGUGAGCUCCCAUAAGUCUUCUGUAAGUUUAAGAGACAGAAGAUUUGGUGACACUAGGAUGUAUAGUAAAAAAAGUUGGUGCCUCCUCAAGUUCUGCUAAAACAGUGGUUUGCAGCCUUGGCUGCAUAUUGGAAUCACCUGGGAAAUUUUUUAAA
rnacentral:lncRNA from 1 species